UACAGAGGUCCCAAGCGUUGUUCGGAUUUACUGGGCGUAAAGCGUGCGUAGGCGGUGGGGUAAGUUUGAGGUGAAAGCUCCGGGCUUAACCCGGAAAUAGCCUUGAAGACUAUCCAGCUAGAGGAUCGGAGGGGAGACUGGAAUUCUCGGUGUAGCAGUGAAAUGCGUAGAUAUCGAGAGGAACACCAGUGGCGAAGGCGAGUCUCUGGACGAAUACUGACGCUGAGGCACGAAAGCCAGGGGAGCAAACGGG
rnacentral:rRNA from 1 species